AAUAUAAUAAAUUUAAAUAAAUAAUAAAUAAGAUCCCAAAAUCCAAAUUUUAAUGUCCGAUACAUCCAACAAAAGUCCAACAAAAUUUAAUCUAUACAUUAUGCGUUCUAAGAAAAUCGGGUACUUCAGCGCGAACAACCACGAACUUGAACCGAUUAUACCUACACCAAAUUAAAAGAACAAGUGAACAAAUACUCAAAUAAUUAUUUUAAUAAAUAAAUAAAAUAUAAAGAGAGAGAGCCGAUCUUUUCCGACACAACAUUUAAUGUUGCAAACAAAGUUUUCUAUGAGACAAUCAUUCUCCUGACAGAGAAGAAGAUUGAGAUCAAAUUUUGUCAGGCAACUUGCUGCCAUCUUUUGUAUGCUUUAAUAUACAAUCAAUUCCUUUCUUCACCCCACAUCUCAACCAAAUCUUCUUCCUUUAUAAUAUUUGCUGCACCAUUCGUUUCUCCUGCCUCUGCAGCAAAACAAGAAUUUUUCUUUAAUUUCCUACUCAAGAAAUCGAGAACCAAAUUCGAGAGAGGGAGCUAUCGAUAAUUCUCUCAAAAUCCGUUGAAGAUUUUCUUGGCAAAGAGCUACCAGUUGUGUUCGCUCGAAGAAGGCCCGUCGCACAUCCGGAGAGGCUGCUUGAACGACGGACAGUUUGGCACAACGGGGAGGCAGUUGAUGAAGGUCUUCUACGGUGGAUGGAUGAUGAUGGAGAACAUCCAACUUGGGAGCCGAUAGCGCUCAUCGAGAGGCAUUUUCCCUACCUCCUUGAGGACAAGGAGCCCGCUAUAGGGGGGGGGAGUUGAUACGAGUAUCGCACCAGUGGUAGUGUUGGAGGAUCCACCCGACGAAGAGCUGGAGCAGUCCUUCGAGACUGCACCGAUGAUGGAGCGUGAGCCUCCAGCGAAAGAGAGACAGUCCCGGCACCAAUGAGCCCGGAAGAGGCCGAACUAUCUUAAUGAUUAUAUUUAAUAUUAAUAUCUAGUUUUCUUUAUGUUUUAGUUAUUUAUGGAGACUUUAUUUAAUUAAACACUAUUUUGGGUCGAGCGUAAUUAUAAGUUCCUUUUCGGGUUUUCUUUGUUGAUUCUUUCCCGAAUCGUAGGUUAAAUCAACCUUAGGGUCCUAAGUAUAAAAAUGCCUUGUUAUUUCUCUUUUGCUCUUUUAUGAAAUAACAAUUUUGCCUUUUAAUUUCUCUGCAA